CAAGAGGCAGAGAAUGCUACAGUUCUCUUGUCAUUCUUUUAACAUAAGACCUAAGGUUUUAAUCCUGGGUAGGACAACGAAGGCAGAAAAGAAGAGAAAGAAAGAGAAGGGGGUGGAGUUGUAUUUAAACUACAUAUGCGAUGCUGAGCUUAAUGUAUUCUAACUCUUCUCUGAUUGUCAGAUGCUCUGCAGGAGUCACCUAAGUCACACUAGGAUAUUGCAGAGCUGCAUGUACCCCAGGAGUCAGCCAGUUUCCUACAGGAGCAUAGAAGAAAGUACCACUAAAGGAGAGCAAGGAGAAGGAAGAGGAAGAGGGCAGCGAUUGGCAAGGCUUGAGGCAUGAAGAAAGUGCACUUUCACUCUUGCAGUAGUCUUAGAAAACAAAUAUUUCUGCAUGGUGACACGGUCCUUACUAGAACCCCAGAACAUCUCCAUGGUAUGACCUACCACAUUUCCUCCCCACCAAAAAUAAUAAUAAUAAUAAUAAUAAUAAUAAUAAUAGUAAGGCUACCAAGUAUCUGGAAUUUCUUGUUCAUUAAAAUCUGAUUACUACCACA